UUUCUUUUCUUUUUUCGAAAAACACUUAGAGUGGGGUUCCACAAGUCAUGGUGAGGGCAUGUGGUUCCUCUUGAAAACAAUGACACAGGUUUCUUGAUUUUAUUAUUCUCCAACUUCACAUUGUAAAUGGUGCUAGCAAAACGAUUAUUUAUUUAUUUGUAGUAUACCGUGUGCUCAAACGAGUUUCGAUGCCUAAUCACAAAGACGGA